GAGGAGAGGUUCGACCAACAAGAACUGCUAAUUCCUGUAUUUGAGUCUAAAACCUCAGCCCCCUUA
rnacentral:tRNA from 1 species